GAUGAAGAACGUAGCGAAAUGCGUUAAGUAAUGUGAAUUGCAGAAUUCAGUGAAUCAUCGAAUCUUUGAACGCACCUUGCGCCUUUUGGUAUUCCGAAAGGCACACCUGUUUGAGCGUCAUGAAUACCUCAAUCUCCAUCUUUUCUUCGGAUUGAUGGGUGACUUGGAUGUUGAGCCCUGCUGGUAUGCUAUAUCAGCUGGCUUUAAACUUAUUAGCCGGCUCUGUACUGGAUCGGUUUGACUCGACGUGAUAAUAUUAUCGUUGAGGAUGCAUGUCUCAUGCAGCCGGAAAGUAUCAAAGCAGCUUCUAGCUUGCCUUUAGCGCACUUUUACAUUUUAGACCUCAGAUCAGGUGGGACUACCCGCUGAACUUAAGCAUAUCAAUAAGCGGAGGA
rnacentral:misc_RNA from 1 species